rnacentral:rRNA from 1 species
GACGAACGCUGGCGGCGUGCUUAACACAUGCAAGUCGAACGGAGAGGCCCUGCUUUUGUGGUUUGCUCGAGUGGCGAACGGGUGAGUAACACGUGAGUAACGUGCCCUUUACUUUGGGAGAACUUCAGGAAACGGGGGCUAAUACCGGAUAGGAGCUCCUGCUGCAUGGUGGGUGUUGUAAAGUUUCGGCGGUUUGGGAUGGACUCGCGGCUUAUCAGCUUGUGGGUGGGGUAGGGGCUUACCAAGGCUUUGACGGGUAGCCGGCCUGAGAGGGUGACCGGCCACAUUGGGACUGAGCUAAGGCCCAGACUACUACGGGAGGCAGGAGUGGGGAAUAUUGCACAAUGGGCGGAAGCCUGAUGCAGCAACGCGGCGUGCGGGAUGACGGCAUUCGGGUUGUAAACCGCUUUCGCGUGUGACGAGGCGUGAGUGACGGUAAUGGGUAAAGAAGCACCGGCUAACUACGUG